GACGAACGCUGGCGGCGUGCCUAAUACAUGCAAGUUGAGCGCUGAAGGUUGGUACUUGUACCAACUGGAUGAGCAGCGAACGGGUGAGUAACGCGUGGGGAAUCUGCCUUUGAGCGGGGGACAACAUUUGGAAACGAAUGCUAAUACCGCAUAAAAACUUUAAACACAAGUUUUAAGUUUGAAAGAUGCAAUUGCAUCACUCAAAGAUGAUCCCGCGUUGUAUUAGCUAGUUGGUGAGGUAAAGGCUCACCAAGGCGAUGAUACAUAGCCGACCUGAGAGGGUGAUCGGCCACAUUGGGACUGGGACACGGCCCAAACUCCUUCGGGAGGCAGCAGUAGGGAAUCUUCGGCAAUGGACGAAAGUCUGACCGAGCAACGCCGCGGGAGUGAAGAAGGUUUUCGGAUCGUAAAACUCUGUUGGUAGAGAAGAACGUUGGUGAGAGUGGAAAGCUCAUCAAGUGACGGUAACUACCCAGAAAGGGACGGCUAACUACGUG
rnacentral:rRNA from 1 species